AUGCAAGGCAUUCUUGGAGCUACUCUGAAAGGAGAGUUCCACCUGGUGUUUACAGCACUGUUGUCAAUGACUCCUGAUAGUCACAUCCUAGACUACUUUGGAGAACCUGAUCCUGAGACUCCAGCACUAUGUCUUACCAACAGCAGCAGUGCAAGCAGCCCUGCCAGCCUCCUCCUGUGUGCUCACCUCCAAAGUGCCCUGAGCCAUGUCCUCCUCCAAAGUGCCCAGAGCCUUGUCCUCCUCCAAAGUGCCCAGAGCCUUGUCCUCCUCCAAAGUGCCCAGAGCCUUGUCCUCCUCCAAAGUGUCCAGAACCUUGUCCUCCUCCCUCAUACCAGCAGAAAUGCCCUCCUGUGCAACCUCCUCCAACCUGCCAGCAAAAGUGUCCACCAAAGAGCAAGUAAGGACUUCAGUACUCAUCAGGACAAGGGGGAGAGAAGAGAAUCUGUCUCACGUACUUGCAAAGGAACACCUUCUUUCUCUCCAUAUUCUUUCAUGAAUGCAGAGGAAUCUUCUAAACUUUUCCCUCUCCAUGUGCCUGUGAUGAACCCUUACACAGAAGAUUUCCUGCUUUUGGUAUCAAGAACCUGCUGAAAAUGAUCUUUCCUAAGUGAUUAAGUGUUCCAGAUACUCAGUGGGAAAUAUCGCUCUUAUUUACCCUGUGCACUCAGAAAAUGUUUCUUAAGAUGUCAGUCACCUUAAUUGUAGUGCUGCCACUGUGAUUCCUGAAUAAAGCACAAUCUGUUGAAUGGUA
rnacentral:sRNA from 1 species